rnacentral:rRNA from 1 species
CGAGCGCACCUUCGGGUGAGCGGCGGACGGGUUAGUAACGCGUGGGAACAUACCCUUUGGUACGGAAUAGCCUCUGGAAACGGAGAGUAAUACCGUAUGAGCCCUUCGGGGGAAAGAUUUAUCGCCAAAGGAUUGGCCCGCGUUAGAUUAGGUAGUUGGUGGGGUAAUGGCCUACCAAGCCUACGAUCUAUAGCUGGUUUUAGAGGAUGAUCAGCAACACUGGGACUGAGACACGGCCCAGACUCCUACGGGAGGCAGCAGUGGGGAAUCUUGGACAAUGGGGGCAACCCUGAUCCAGCCAUGCCGCGUGAGUGAUGAAGGCCUUAGGGUCGUAAAGCUCUUUCGCCUGUGAAGAUAAUGACGG